GGGGAGGUCAGGGGCCAUGCAGGGAGGUCCUCCUGGCUGCAAACUGGGCGCGCCCAGGCGCCCUGGGGAGGGUGGCGUGGCUGGAGCUCAGUGAUUCAGGGGAAGAGUGUGUGAGAUGGAGGCCAAGGCCAAGGGACAUUAGUGAACACGAUGCAGAUUACAGAGCACGCUUGGAGAGAUCUCCAGUUCAUUACUGUGGAAGGCAAGAUGUGUUAAACACGGCGCACUUUAUGGGGAGAGGGGAGCUGCCUUUCGAUAGAAGGAGGAAAUGUGACCCAGAGGUGGGCGGGAACAAAUUAUAUUUGGAGUGGCUCUCCAUUUCUGUUAUGUACCAGACACGUUUGGGAUGCUGGAGCCCGGACAUCUUCCUGUCCUCUUUCUGUGCAGGCCACUGUGGGGAUCAACGUGGAGAAGAAGGUGCUGAAUUCACUCCCUCGGGACUGGGAAUGAGACCCAGUCAGGUGUUGAACUUGAAGU
rnacentral:lncRNA from 10 species